rnacentral:misc_RNA from 1 species
GUUUGUCACGACCCAAAUCCGAGCCGCAACUGGCACCCACACUUACCCUCCUAUGUGAGUGAACCAACCAAUCUAACCUUAACAUUUCAAUAUAAUAUCAACAGAAAGUAAUGCGGAAGACUUAAACUCAUUAAUAAAAACCAAUUCAAUAACUUCUAAAAACUCAACAACUAUUAUUAUCCCCAAAAUCUGGAAGUCAUCAUCACAAGAACAUCUACUUCAAAUUACUAAAUCUAAGAAGCUAAAAUACAUAAACAGCUAGUCCAUGCCGGAACUUCAAGGCAUCAAGACAUGAAGAAGAAGAUCCAGUCCAAGCUAGAAGCGUUAGCUCACCCUGAAAUCCGGUGUAAUGAAGACUGGCUAGAGUUGCGGUUGAGUUGAAGACGACGGUACGUUUGCCAAAAUUACGACAGUAUUUGGACAAGCUAGAAGAGGAAAAGUUAUGACGCAAAAUACCAUUGUUUUCCUCUUCAAUAGUGAUUAUAGAUGAGAGAUAUCUAUUUGGAAGCACC